GUUGAACGCUGGCGGCAGGCUUAACACAUGCAAGUCGAGCGGGAGAAGUUGCUUCGGUAAUUGACCUAGCGGCGGACGGGUGAGUAAUACUUAGGAAUCUGCCUAUUAAUGGGGGACAUCAUCUCGAAAGGGAUGCUAAUACCGCAUACGCCCUACGGGGGAAAGCAGGGGAUCACUUGUGACCUUGCGUUAAUAGAUGAGCCUAAGUCGGAUUAGCUAGUUGGUGGGGUAAAGGCCUACCAAGGCGACGAUCUGUAGCUGGUCUGAGAGGGUGAUCCGCCUCACUGGGACUGAGACACGGCCCAGACUCCUACGGGAGGCAGCAGUGGGGAAUAUUGGACAAUGGGGGGAACCCUGAUCCAGCCAUGCCGCGUGUGUGAAGAAGGCCUUAUGGUUGUAAAGCACUUUAAGCGAGGAGGAGGCUCUUUUGGUUAAUACCCAAGAUGAGUGGACGUUACUCGCAGAACAAGCACCGGCUAACUCUGUGCCAGCCGCCGCAGUAAGAC
rnacentral:rRNA from 1 species